rnacentral:pre_miRNA from 1 species
GUCACUCGACUAUGAAAAGUUACAAAAUGGUCAUCCAAUUAUGAUUUUUUUUCUUUUUUUGUCAUCCAACUAUUCAAUUUUGUCUUUUUGAGUCACUCAACUAUCUUGAAUUUUUGAGUGUUUCCAUUUUUACGUUAAUUAGCUGUUGACCAAAAAAAGAAAAAAAAGUCAUAGUUGGAUGGCCAAUUUGUAACUUUUCAUAGUUGAAUGAUU